CGGAGGAUGCAAGCGUUGUCCGGAUUCAUUGGGUUUAAAGGGUGCGUAGGCGGAGAAUUAAGUCAGUGGUGAAAGCUCGCAGCUUAACUGUGAAAAUGCCAUUGAAACUGAUUUUCUUGAGUUCGAUUGAGGUAGAUGGAAUGUAUCAUGUAGCGGUGAAAUGCUUAGAUAUGAUACAGACCACCAAUUGCGAAGGCAGUCUACUAAGUCGAUACUGACGCUGAGGCACGAAAGCAUGGGGAGCAAACAGGAUUAGAUACCCUGGUAGUCCAUGCCCUAAACGUUGAUUACUCGUUGUUGGCGAUACACUGUCAGCGACUAAGCGAAAGCGUUAAGUAAUCCACCUGGGGAGUACGAUCGCAAGGUUG
rnacentral:rRNA from 1 species